GGGAAGGGAAGGGAAGGGAAGGGAAGGGAAGGGAAGGGAAGGACUUUAAUAUCCUUGCAUGAACAAUAACUCUGUAUGAUUCUUUGAUGUAUUUUAUUGCAUUUCUCUUCCUUGUACAACAUUCUUCCUUUGAUUCCUUUAAGCAUUCAAAACAGUCCAAGAAAAACAAAUAAAGAUGAAUACUAAAAGAGAGAAGAUGAAGACCAGACUCUGAGCAUGGCCUUGCAUCUCAUCUUCUGUUCUCCAGUUUCUAUGGCCCUAUUGCACUUAAAAAAAAAAAAAAAAGGCACAAAUUAUCCUGUAACUGCUCUCAGUUCUCCAUCUGUGUUCACUGGAUUUAUACUGCUACUCCUAGAAAUCUUCUGCUUUGUUUCCAAGCACAAGUUGCUUGCCACCAACUUCCAAAUUUAUUAUCAAGUGUUCCAAUUUAAAAAGCCAGUUAGGAGUAGACAGGACUGCUGUGAAGUUGUCACUUAA
ensembl:lncRNA